rnacentral:tRNA from 1 species
GGGGUGGUAGCUCAGUUGGUUAGAGCGCCUGCCUGUCACGCAGGAGGCCGCGGGUUCGAGUCCCGUUCAUCCCGCCA